rnacentral:rRNA from 1 species
UACGGAGGGGGCAAGCGUUGUUCGGAAUUACUGGGCGUAAAGGGCGCGCAGGCGGCUGCUCAAGUCAGGCGUGAAAGGCCUGGGCUCAACCCGGGAAUUGCGCUUGAGACUGGGCUGGCUUGAGUGCGGGAGAGGAUGGUGGAAUUCCCAGUGUAGAGGUGAAAUUCGUAGAUAUCGGGAGGAACACCAGUGGCGAAGGCGACUUCCUGGCCUGUUCUUGACGCUGAGGCGCGAAAGCUAGGGUAGCAAACGGG